rnacentral:rRNA from 1 species
GACAGAGGAUGCAAACGUUGCUCGGAUCUACUGGGCGUAAAGCGCGCGCAGGCGGUCCCGUAAGUCGGACGUGAAAGCCCGGGCUCAACUCUGGAAGUGCGUCUGAUACUGCGAGACUGGAGUAUGGAGAGGAGAGCGGAAUUCCCGGUGUAGAGGUGAAAUUGUAGAUAUCGGGAGGAACACCAGUGGCGAAGGGCGGCUCU